rnacentral:lncRNA from 1 species
GCUUUGUUACUGAACUGCGCCCAGCCCUCACUGAUGUCUUCUUCUCUUUUUCCUUUACAGCUUUUCCAGGCCUAGAACCACUAGAAACUAGGUUGGAUCCAAGGCAGUUGUGCUUAGGGUUUGGGGAUUGGCAGAGUUCUCCCUUGCAGGGUCCUCCGUCUUUCCCUCUUUGGUUCCCAGCAAUGCUUUUCUCAUCUCAGUUGUCAGGUGUGAGAGAAACAAGCAGAACCAGCCUCAUGACCAAGGUCACCUAACAACAUCACAAGACGAUGACAUCACCAUCAGCUCUGGCCCAGAGCUCAAAUAACGGAGGGAAAGGGCAGGUCAUCCUCACGGCAGGGUGACAGAGCUGGUGCCAGGCCUCUGCCAACUAUCAGGGCCCAGGAGUGUUGCUGAAAGCUACCCAGGAGCAGCUCAUCCCUGCCUCCGCUCAGCCAGCGCUCUCACAUGCUCAGAACAGUAGAGUCUCACCAACAGGGGUCCCCACCCCCACCUUUUCCUAGAAGCAAGGUUAGCAACUGCCAGAGUCAAAAUAGAUGUGGAGAGAAUUGUGUGGCAACACUCGGGUUUAGUUCAAGCACACUGGAUUGCACGAUAUCCUUAGAGGGCAGAGCCAUUGCAGGAGGGAUCAAAGCAGCCGGCCUUGCUCUUCGGGCUGAUGUUUCUGCCAUGCUGCAUGUCAAACAAUCAUGUCUUUGGAGCCCAGAUGCCCUGCUUUGUAGAUAUUUUUUCAGGUGACAGAAAGCUGGCUAACCCACAACUACCAAGGAGAAGCAAAGAUAAAGGCAAUUGCCCAUGAAUGGUAAAAAUGAAUUAGGGCCCAAAUAGAUGGAUGGUAAAAACGCCACCUCUUCUCCCAACAAGCGACAUAGUCACUACUGAGAGGAGACCGAUGGCAGAGUAGACCAGCGAGGUGGAGUCCUCCUUAACCCAGCUAUCCCACAAAUCAGCACCAUGUGCCUCCUGCCACUGCACACUGCUGAUUCCAUAUCACUCUGGUGGGUCUCCUUCCAAAACAGGUAUAAUCUCACCUGAAUCCUUCAGAACUGUCAAUCAAAACCCAAGUGGGA